rnacentral:tRNA from 1 species
GAUAGAUGGCCGAGUGGUCGAAGGCGCACGAUUGGAAAUCGUGUGUGCCUCCAAAGGGCACCGAGGGUUCGAAUCCCUCUCUAUCC